GAUGAAGAACGCAGCAAAAUGCGAUAAGUAAUGUGAAUUGCAGAAUUCAGUGAAUCAUCGAAUCUUUGAACGCACAUUGCGCCCGCCAGUACUCUGGCGGGCAUGCCUGUCCGAGCGUCAUUUCAACCCUCAGGGCACCCCCGGCACAGCCCGGGGGCGCGCUGGCGUUGGGGAUCGGCCGCCCUCCAGCGGCGGCCGGCCCCGAAAUCUAGUGGCGGUCGCGCCGUGACCUCCCCUGUGCGGUAGCAUACUCGCAGCGGGAGAGCGGUGCCACCACGCCGUGAAACACCCCCAACUCCAAUGGUUGACCUCGGAUCAGGUAGGACUACCCGCUGAACUUAAGCAUAUCAAUAAGCGGAGGA
rnacentral:misc_RNA from 1 species